GACAGAGGUGCCGAGCGUUAGGCGGAAUCACUGGGCUUAAAGCGUGUGUAGGCGGACUUCUAAGUACCUUGUGAAAUCCCAACGGCUCAACCGUGGAACUGCUUGGUAUACUGGUUGUCUUGAGCCACUUAGGGGCAGUCGGAACAGACGGUGGAGCGGUGAAAUGCGUAGAUAUCGUCUGGAACGCCAAAGGUGAAAACAGAACUGCUGGGAGUGUGCUGACGUGAGACACGAAGCCAGGGAGCAAACGGG
rnacentral:rRNA from 1 species